rnacentral:rRNA from 1 species
AUAAGGUGAAUUAAAAAUGAUGAUUAGAUUUUACAUGGAGUUCAAAUGUAAAAGUUUAAAAAUGUUGGCGGUGUUUAAUUAAAUUCUGAGAAUCUUGCAUAAUUAAAAUGAUAUUACACAAAUAAUCUUAUCUUAUUAGAAUUUUGGUUAGGUUUAUUUAUUGCUGUUUAAUUUAUUUUUUGAUAUUAGGGUAGAAAAUAGAUAAGAUUAAUGGAAAUUAAAUAAUUCAAGUCAUGAUGUAGUAAUAAUAAGGUUUAUGUGAGUUGCAGUUUUCUAGAGGAGGAAGAAUGGUAAAGUAGAUUGAAAUAUUUAUAAUAAUUGGGAUUAGGUUGUAAAAGAGAAGUAAUAUAUUUUUUUUGAUAAAGUUUAUAGGCAUGU